rnacentral:rRNA from 1 species
GAUGAACGCUGGCGGCGUGCCUAAUAUAUGCAAGUCGAGCGAAUGGAUUAAGAGCUUGCUCUUAUGAAGUUAGCGGCGGACGGGUGAGUAACACGUGGGUAACCUGCCCAUAAGACUGGGAUAACUCCGGGAAACCGGGGCUAAUACCGGAUAACAUUUUGAACCGCAUGGUUCGAAAUUGAAAGGCGGCUUCGGCUGUCACUUACGGAUGGACCCGCGUCGCAUUAGCUAGUUGGUGAGGUAACGGCUCACCAAGGCAACGAUGCGUAGCCGACCUGAGAGGGUGAUCGGCCACACUGGGACUGAGACACGGCCCAGACUCCUACGGGAGGCAGCAGUAGGGAAUCUUCCGCAAUGGACGAAAGUCUGACGGAGCAACGCCGCGUGAGUGAUGAAGGCUUUCGGGUCGUAAAACUCUGUUGUUAGGGAAGAACAAGUGCUAGUUGAAUAAGCUGGCACCUUGACGGUACCUAACCAGAAAGCCACGGCUAACUACGUGCCAGCCACCGCAGUAA